rnacentral:sRNA from 2 species
UUGAAACUCCAGAGAAAGCAAACAAAAUAGUAAAGCUAAAACAUUUUGAGAAAUUUCAGGAUACAGCAGAAGCAUUAGCAGCAUUCACAGCUCUGAUGGAGGGCAAAAUCAAUAAGCAGCUGAAAAAAGUUCUGAAGAAAAUAGUAAAAGAAGCCCAUGAACCGCUGGCAGUAGCUGAUGCUAAACUAGGAGGGGUCAUAAAGGAAAAGCUGAAUCUCAGUUGUAUCCAUAGUCCUGUUGUUAAUGAACUUAUGAGAGGAAUUCGUUCACAAAUGGAUGGAUUAAUCCCUGGGGUAGAACCACGUGAAAUGGCAGCUAUGUGUCUUGGAUUGGCUCACAGCCUGUCUCGAUAUAGAUUGAAGUUUAGCGCUGAUAAAGUAGACACAAUGAUUGUUCAGGCAAUUUCCUUGUUAGAUGACUUGGAUAAAGAACUAAACAACUACAUUAUGCGAUGUAGAGAAUGGUAUGGCUGGCAUUUCCCUGAAUUAGGAAAAAUUAUUUCAGAUAAUUUGACAUACUGCAAGUGUUUACAGAAAGUUGGCAUCCUUUUCAUUGGCUUUCUACUUUUUCU